CGUUAACCACCCCCCACGUGCGCGGCCGCCUGUGGCCUCUUCCCGCCGCGGCCGGCCCGGCUCCUCUAGCCCCAGCUCCGGGGGACGCCGGGCACGGGGUCUCACUCUGUUGCCCAGGCUGGAAAUGCAGUGGCACAAUCUUGGCUCACUGCAGCCUCCACCUUCCAGACUCAAAUGAUCCUCCCAAUUCAGCCUUCUGAAUAGCUGAGAUUACAGCCUCUCAAGAGAAAAAUGGAGAAGCUGAAAGCCAUUCCCAUCUAAGAACUCAGAGGUGUCAGUUGUUUGCCUGCCAACGCUCUCAUGUGAACUAAGAGAAUGGAACCGCGCAUUCGUGAAGUGCUCAGAGCAAUAUUACACCACCAACAUGAGCCUGAUCAUAUGCACUCCUGCUGGCUAAAUUUUGAGGUCUAAAACCAUUUUUCACUUAAAGGAACCAACACACCUCAGAAAAAUGGCUGAUUCCAUGUCUGGGUCUAGGGAAGCACAGGAGACCUAAGUUGCCUAGGCUCGUCUCAAACUCCUGGCCUCAAGUGAUCCUUCUAUCUCAGCCUCUCAAAAUUCUGGGAUUACAGAACUCUGCAAAAACAGCUCCUGUCAAGGGCAUCCAUGACCAUCAUGCUGUCAAGGGCAAUGGCCUUUUCUCAGCAAGCAACCUGGAUGGAACUGGAGGACAUGAUGUUACCAACUGACAGUCAAUUAAUGAAAGUACAGGCAUUGAUUUAAGCAUCAGCAAUGGUGACUUUGGCUUCAACUCGUGGCUCAAUACUGAUGGGAAUAAUCAGUUCAGCCAUCUCAAAGAACUAUGCAAAUCAAUGAUUGCUUGUGGAUUCUCAUCUGGAAAGGAUCCCAUGUCUCAGAACCUUAAGCACAAGGAGUUUAUCUUCUAGCAGUUCUCAGAGUUUUGGUAGGCAUCUGGACAGGCCCUUUCACUUUGAGGAUCUUCUCUUUUGCGCCUCUGAUCAAGUCAGCCACACCUUCUCCAGGGGUUUUCCUUUGCGGCUGGAUAGCUUGACUUCAGUUCUGUGACUCCCCACCUCUGGCUCCAUGGGUGUCUUUCCGGUGUCUUUAAAGGCCAAGGCUUUGGCAAGGCUUCCUGGCCAACCUGUUCCUAGUCCAGAACGAGUUGCUCCUUG